AUAUCAAUAAGCGGGGAAAAGAAACUAAAAGGGAUUCCCCUAGUAACUGCGAGUGAAGCGGGAAAAGCUCAAAUUUAAAAUCUGGCGGUCUCCGGCUGUCCGAGUUGUAAUCUAGAGAAGUGUUAUCCGCGCUGGACCGUGUACAAGUCUCCUGGAAUGGAGCAUCAUAGAGGGUGAGAAUCCCGUCUUUGACACGGACUGCCAGGGCUUUGUGAUGCGCUCUCAAAGAGUCGAGUUGUUUGGGAAUGCAGCUCAAAAUGGGUGGUAAAUUCCAUCUAAAGCUAAAUAUUGGCGAGAGACCGAUAGCGAACAAGUACCGUGAGGGAAAGAUGAAAAGAACUUUGGAAAGAGAGUUAAACAGUACGUGAAAUUGCUGAAAGGGAAACGCUUGAAGUCAGUCGCGUUGGCCGGGGAUCAACCUUGCUUUUGCUGGGCGUACUUUCCGGUUGAUGGGUCAGCAUCAAUUUUGACCGUUGGAUAAAGUCCAGGGGAAUGUGGCAUCUUCGGAUGUGUUAUAGCCCUUGGUCGCAUACAACGGUUGGGAUUGAGGAACUCAGCACGCCGCAAGGCCGGGUACUUGUACCACGUUCGUGCUUAGGAUGCUGGCAUAAUGGCUUUAAUCGACCCGUCUUGAAACACGGACCAAGGAGUCUAACAUGCCUGCGAGUGUUUGGGUGGAAAACUCGGACGCGUAAUGAAAGUGAAAGUUGAGAUCCCUGUCGUGGGGAGCAUCGACGCCCGGACCAGACCUUUUGUGACGGAUCCGCGGUAGAGCAUGUAUGUUGGGACCCGAAAGAUGGUGAACUAUGCCUGAAUAGGGUGAAGCCAGAGGAAACUCUGGUGGAGGCUCGUAGCGAUUCUGACGUGCAAAUCGAUCGUCAAAUUUGGGUAUAGGGGCGAAAGACUAAUCGAACCAUCUAGUAGCU
rnacentral:rRNA from 1 species